GUGCCAGCAGCCGCGGUAAUACCGGCAGCCCGAGUGAUGGCCGAUCUUAUUGGGCCUAAAGCGUCCGUAGCUGGCUGCGCAAGUCCGUCGGGAAAUCCACUCGCCCAACGAGUGGGCGUCCGACGGAAACUGCACAGCUUGGGACCGGAAGGCUCGAAGGGUACGUUCGGGGUAGGAGUGAAAUCCCGUAAUCCCGCACGGACCACCGAUGGCGAAAGCACCUCGAGAAAACGGAUCCGACAGUGAGGGACGAAAGCUAAGAUCGCGAACCGGAUUAGAUACCCUUGUAGUCC
rnacentral:rRNA from 1 species